GAGGUUUAUUCUGCUGCUGAGCUCCUCUUCUGGGAGUUUUCUGCUUCUGUGAUGGCCAAGAGCAGGCUUCCACUUGGGCUCCAUCUCCAGGAAGUUCACAGAGUUUUGGGCCUUUGGAGUGGAAGGUCAUCCAAGAAACGAAGACCCCAGAGAGUAUGGCCGGACAGAAGUGUGGGUUAUACCUCAUUUAUAGCUAGUGACACUGUCCUUCUCUGAGCUAUCUUUUGGGUGAUUCUGGAUUUUGUAAAAAAACUGCUUGUCACCUCUUUGGAGACACUUUGUGUGUCCAAGGUUAAGUCAUAUCCUUGGUUAAGGUACUUGGGAGGAUACUUUUUGUUAAAGCAGUUCAAAAGCCAGAAAUAUUAGAAAUAUGAACUGUUCUAUCUAAAAUCUAGUAAUAAGAAAUUUGAAAGGAUUUUUAAGAGCUCUAUCCUCAAAAGUCGACAAUAAAAACUGACAUUUAGAUUAUAUAUCAAUA
ensembl:lncRNA novel transcript